UCUGUCACUCUCUCCCAUCCCUCUCUCUUUCCCAUGUCUCUCUCUCUCUGUCUCUCUCUGCCUCUCGCUCUCUAGCUGUAAGUUCAUUCGCUGUGGCGAGCAACAACUGUGCAAAGAGGAGGUUUGAUCCUGUUGUUGAGCAUCGUCCCUCCCUGAGAGGCUGCUGCUGCUGAUGCUGCUGCUACUGCAGCCUCAUCCACCUGCACAACCCCAUGGCUGGCUGGCUGGCUGACUGGCUGACACGUUAGGCGCUACUGCUACACGCUGGGACUGUGAGGGGGCUGCCUGCGCAUGGGGAACACCUGCCUGUGAACAAACGCUGCUGGUCGACGCGCAGGCUACUAACCCCAUUGCAAUCCACCACUCUCCACUGUGGACAACACAAAAACAAGGUGAUAUACCUUACAAUCACGGCAUGUCUUCUCUGAGGCAGGACACCAGCCUGGCUAGUAGCUCUGUGGAAGGCUGUGCCUGGACCAACACUCACAGGSAGGUUUCAUUAUGUGUGGAUAUGCUGGUGUGGAGUGAGAGCGAAAGAGAGAGAGCAGGACAGGGCUYAAAUGGGCAUCUCUUCCUCCUUAUGGAUCGCUCCUGGAGGACAGGACCACCAGGACUUCCAAGGAGGGCAGGGCUUCAGACCACCUCUGGCCCAGGUAAGAGCAUGCUGAGGGGGCAAGCGUCCCCACACAUCACCCCUUUACCUCUCCUCUCUUAUGGAGCUCCAUUUAUUUGACCACUGGCGUGUGUGAGAGAGAGAGAUGCAGACUCUUGGAAGAGAAGAUAGUUUACACCACUUUGUUCUUUUGGCUUUGGAUUGAAAAAUGCACUGUUGUUCAUUUCUAUUUGCAGAAAAACCUUUGAAGGGGCUUUGUGUUGUGCUUCAAGGCGUCUUCAAUCAAUUAUGUUGAUACAGUGUCUUUCUCUGUGUUGCUUUCCAUUGGGAUCGACUGAGGAAUUUGACGAUGCGGUCACGCUUGCUUGCGAUUCCCAUUAUUGCCUCUGUGUUUAAGAUUCUCUUCGGUGACGGGUAUUCUUGGGUGUAUAAUACGGAUCACGUUGUUAUUGCUUAAGAAUACGCGUAGUCGAGGAGAGUCCUCUUCUUCUUCUUCGUCUGUCUUCGUCUGCAGCUGAGGACUAUUGAUCAGAUCGAAGCAGCUCAAAGUACCCCCCUACCUGUUUCCUUUUAAUACUGAGGAGUUGGCACACAGAAACACAAACCGUAGAGACUGACUGACAUCCAGGCCCAUUUAUCAAGCAAGGAGACAGAGCACUGCCGGCUGCCUAUCUGUUUCAGUGAUGAUUGUGCUGUUCAGUCUUGAGAUAGUGUCGACCAACCACUCUUGUCUGCAGUUUCUUUUUUUUUACCGCCCCCCCCCCCCCACCCCUUUUCAUAAUUUUUAUACUGUGAUGUUGUCGUUUUGUCACAGAUGUUUCAGAUGUCACAUGUUUAUUUGACCAUUAUCAUGUCCAGUAUAUGAAAGUGUAUUUGCAUAUAUUCAUGCUGCAUUAUGUAUUUGUAUUGUGUGGGAGAUAUGCUACAGUGAGUGUGUAUUUCAUAGGCUUCUGAUACAACAGGAUAGUGUUGUUGUGCAGUUAUAGCAGAGGUUAGACUGCAUGGCCCUGGUCCUCUCUCAUGCAAAUCUCUCGAGUCUAUUUAUUAUCAGUCGUCCAGACCAAGCACUCUUUUCCUCCUUCUCCUUUUUUAUGCAAAUUGAUUUUGAAAUGACAUUUAUCGCGUUGGGUUUUCCACACGAAAGAGCUGCCACACCGGAGCCCAGACAACAAAAUGUCCACCGCUCUAGCGAGAGCUCAAUUUAUGCAUUGGAGGAGAGUGGGUCUCGAUAACAAUUACCACAGGCUCAAAUGGACCAUAACCGGGUUUUCCGUGUUAUCAUAUGUAUAGUAUAUGCCAUGAAUAUGUAUCAGUCAGUCCCCCUGGUUGAAUGCAGGGUGCAUUCUGAACCAUAACACCCAUGUAAAAUCCAUUUAAACACCAUAGUAGGAACAAGUUAACUUAUAGAGCCACACUCAAAAUUCCCCUCCAGAAUUUUUUUUUUAUGUCUAUUAAAUGUCAUAAAAUACUAAAUGUAUGGUAUUUAUAUUUAAAAGGUUUUAUUUUAUUUUCUUUACAAGCAUUCUUUGUCUUUUAAGAAUAAUGAAAAAAAUCAACAGCUAAACAAAUGGUCUUGAUUACUAUCAUACAAAUUAAUUAAACUAGCUGUACUAAUACCAUUUCAGAUAUUUAAAAGAACACAAUUAUAUGUUAACUGCUUGGCUCGCUUGAUAAGUAUUAAUCUAUUUAUAAUGAUAGAAAUCCCACUGAAUCUGUGUUUGAAUCGGUAGGAAAAUGAAAGAAACACCAGAAGCUUGGUUGACCCCAUAUUUCACCACUAUGGAAACUACAUAUCUGAUAAAGAUCCUAUCAGAAUGUACUUUGUAUUUCACCUUCUGUAGUGGAUCUAAACGAUUUCCAAAAAUACAUCUACAUGGAGAAAGAGAGGGUGGUAGACAUAUGUCUAAUAUGUUGUGCUUCAAUGAAUCUCUGUAUUUUCUGUUUUGAAACAAACCAGGCCCUUGCUGCUGACACGAUCUUUACCUAACCAUGAUCACGUGGUCCUGAUCAAUUCAGCUGCUGAACCAUUCUUUACCUAUGCCUGCUUUUGGGAUUUUUUCUUGUCACGUUUACAUGAUACUACUAGUAGACAAUGUCAAUUAUCCUGAUAGACAGUAAGAAUGUCAUAGCCAAUAGUCAAAUGUAUAGAUUCAGUGAAUUGAGCAUGACCUUUAUUGAACACAUCUUCAUUUACAAGAAUAGUAUUAUAAAUUGAUCCAUUUUAUUUUUCAUAUAUUCUAGCAAUGUUCUGCUUUCCUACAAAGUAUACUUGCAUACAAAUAUGACGUUUAUACAUCUUUAAGAAUUACUACAUUUGUUGUUAUAACAAAUUAUUAACAUCCUUUAAAUUCACUAAAUAUGUUACAGUAAUAUACAUUGGAAAUCCAAUGACAUUAAACCCAAUAUCUAUCUGAUAGUUUACAUUAUUUCCUUUUUAAUUUAGGUGUGUUUAAUUCAUAGCAUAUCAUUAUUUUAGUGAUAAUGUAUUACACAAACACAGCUGCAAUGUAAACGACAAUGCCAAUGACCCAUGUAUUGUAAAAGUGCCUUAUUCUAUAAAUAAAAUUUCACAAAAGAUACACAA